rnacentral:lncRNA from 1 species
UCCGUGCAGCCUGAUUCACCCGAUCCUUACACAGACUCACUCUUUCCAUCAAGGAAUAUUUGUUAAUGCAGAGCACGCUGCUGAGAUCACCCUUCUGGCAAAUGCCUGCUGUGGUAUGAGACCCAGUCAUCUGGCAGCACAUUGCUUACUGCAGUCUCCACGGCAACCCUCCAUGCUGUUCUUCUUUGGAAGCUCUGCACAUUCGUAAAGAAGCUGUCAUCCCUCUUACUGGUCAUCAACAUACAGCAAGAGACUCUCCUCUUCUUGGAGGAAGCCCAAGCCGCCAUCUCAGAAGAGUGGCUGAACCAUAUAACAGCUGAAGCUAAAACAAGGAGAUGAGACCUAUGCUGCCCAGUGCACCCAUGUUCUGAGGAGCCCCAGUCCAGGAGCAUCAGCUAGGUUGGAGCUGCUGAUCACAGAAACUGAGGAGGACCAAUGUAUUUGGUAGUGCAGUGAGCCUACAGCCAUCCAAAGCAAGCUGGAGAAUGCAUGCUGGGGAAACAAAUCAGCAAGCAGGCAGUGGCAUGUGAAGAGAGUCCCUCUGCUGGCACAGAAGUGAUUGCAGAGCAAUAAUACAAAUCACAAUACCAGUAUGUGUAAAGCUCCACUUUAGGCAACGUAAGGUUUGCUGUUUCCACCUGGCCUUGCUGCAGUGAAUUUCCCAUGGUUGGGAUAUUCUCUGCCUGACUUUGAGACGCCUCCAUCCCACUGGCUUUGCUGUGUGUUUGACAAAAAGAAAGAGGUCUUCUCUAAACUUUGCCAGGCUCAGUUG